rnacentral:ncRNA from 1 species
CGACAGGGGAGCAUGCCGUGCUGAGACAGGAUACCCGUUCCGCGUAUCCGAAACCCUCCGAACCUGAUAAGGUUAAUACCUUCGCAGGGAGUCGCUGAG